rnacentral:rRNA from 1 species
CUUUGAGAUGGACCCGCGGCGCAUUAGCUAGUUGGUGAGGUAACGGCUUACCAAGGCCACGAUGCGUAGCCGACCUGAGAGGGUGAUCGGCCACAUUGGAACUGAGACACGGUCCAGACUCCUACGGGAGGCAGCAGUGGGGAAUAUUGCGCAAUGGGGGAAACCCUGACGCAGCAACGCCGCGUGGGUGAUGAAGGUCUUCGGAUUGUAAAACCCUGUUUUCUGGGACGAUAAUGACGGUACCAGAGGAGGAAGCCACGGCUAACUACGUGCCAGCAGCCGCGGUAAUACGUAGGUGGCGAGCGUUGUCCGGAUUUACUGGGCGUAAAGGAUGCGUAGGCGGAUGUUUAAGUGAGAUGUGAAAUCCCCGGGCUUAACCUGGGGGCUGCAUUCCAAACUGGAUGUCUAGAGUGCAGGAGAGGAAAGCGGAAUUCCUAGUGUAGCGGUGAAAUGCGUAGAGAUUAGGAAGAACACCAGUGGCGAAGGCGACUUACUGGACUGUAACUGACGCUGAGGCACGAAAGCGUGGGUAGCAAACAGGAUUAGAUACCCUGGUAGUCCACGCCGUAAACGAUGGAUACU